UCUUCUCCAUCCCCAAACACUGAACAGUCUCAUUAUCCAAAUCUACCAUGGAUAUACUUCGAAAUCUCUAUAUAGAGCUACGGAUAUUCAGCUUCUUAUGAUUGUUCUGAAGUUCUCCAGAGCGUUGUUGAUAUAGAUUGAUGUUUCAACUUGAAUAUGCAGCAUCGGUUAUGACUAUUUGAGAUCUCUUUCAUUGAUGCUUUUGAGGUGAUUUAUGUGCUACUUGUAGUGGAAUUGAAAUUUAUUUGAAUUUAUAACAUUGAUUAUGGUAUCUCUCUCCCUGUGCUAUUGAUUAUGAGUACAUGAGAUCUCUCUGUGAUUGAGAUAGUAAUUACUUGAAAACAUGAAAAUAGAUGAUUUUGAAGUGAUUGAUGUGCUAAUUGUAGUCGAAAUGAAGUUUGAAUUCACAGCAUUGAUUAUGAGCACAUGAGAUCUCUGUCACUGAGAUGUUUGUUAAGUUAUUAUUUGAGAAUAUGAAAAUAGCUGCAGUUGAGGUUACUGAUGUGCAAAUUGUAGUCGAAAUGGAGUAUAGUUGAAUUCAUAGCAUGAUAAAGAGUACAUGAGAUCUCUCUGUCAUUGAGAUAUUUGUUAAGUAAUUAUUUGAAAACUUGAGAAUAGAUGCUUUUGAGGUGACUGAUGUGCAAGUCAAAAUGAAGUUUGUUUGAAUUUACAGCAUUGAUUAUGAGUACAUGAGAUCUAUCUGUCAUUGAGAUAUUUGUUAGGUAAUUAUUUGAAAACACAUAAUUGAUGCUUUUGAGGUGUUUGAUGUGCUAAUUGUAGUCGAAAUGUAAGUUCAUUUGAAUUUACAACAUUGAUUACGAGUACAUUAAAUCUCUCUGUGAUUGAGAUAUAUUGUUGGUAAUUACUUGGAAACAUGAAAAAUAGAUGCAGCUGAGGGAAUUGAUGUGCAAAUUGUAGUCAAAAUGAAGUUUAAUUGAAUUUAUAGCAUGAUAAUGAGUACAUGAGAUUUCUCUGUCAUUGAGAUAUUUGUUAGGUAAUUACUUUGAAACAUGUAAAAUAGAUGCAGUUAAGGUGAUUGGUGUGCAAAUUGUAUUCCCAAUGAAGUUCUUUUGAAUUUGUAGCACUGAUUAUGUGUACAUGGUAUCUCUCUGUCAUUGAGGUAUUUGUUAAGUGAUUGUUUGAAAACAUGAAAAUAGAUGUUUUCGAGGUGAUUGACGUGUGAAUUGUAGUCGAAAUGAAGUUUAUUUGAAUUUAUAGCAUUGAUUAUUAGUACAUGAGAUCUCUCUGUGAUUGGUAUACCUGUUAAGUAAUUACUUGAAAACAUGAAAAUAGAUGCCUUCUGAGGUGAUUUACGUGCAUGGCAGGUGUAGUCAGAUUGAAGUUGUAACACAGUGAUAUUAACAUCGAUGGCAAUUUCUAGAGGAAUCUGCAGUCGGCAGCGGGAUUUUGCAGUGAUAUACAUGUUUCUUUGCGAGGCGAAUUAAAGUGUAAAGUGGUUAUACGUUUGAUCGUGGUUUAAGAUGAAUAUGAGUUAUUCCGUUAGUUGGUUUCCUUAUAUAUCUUGGUGUUAAUGUGCUUUAACUCUAAAAGAACGAGCUAUAUGAGUUUGUUUGCUUCUAAAAUCUCUUCUUCAUAUGUUCUGUAUGUCAAAAGCUACAGAAAGUUAAUGACAGAUCCAUUGAGACGUCAAACUCAAGGUCUUGUGGCUCAAAUAUGAAAUCAGAUAUAUAGUUCAAAAUCCACUCUCUCACUCAAAAUUCUUCGUUCUAAAAUUUCAAUAUGCUAAUGCUACUGCACAUGUUUAUGCUCAUCUUAUUGCUAAUGCCUAUGUACAGGUUGAGAGAUGUUCUCCAUGUUCUUCCGAUGACAGUUAAUAAGGUUUUCUCAGCUUCAAACAAAGGUAUGAUGUAAGAACAAAACAGCUGUUAGGACUUUAAGUGUCUUUAUGCAUCUACUUUCAGUUGUGAUUUUCAAAACUGUAUGUCUAGCUAGUAGUUGCAAACAGCAGAUGUAUUUAAUAGAUGUAUUUCCGUGAUGUCUUGGCUGACUUAUGAAGUAUGAAUAGGGUAUUAUUUCAAGCUAAUCUCUACCAGGGUGCUAGUAUCAUGAAUAGAAUGAAUAUAUUCGUAUACUCCUUGCUAAUCUCUACCAGGGUGCUAGUAUCAUGAAUAGAAUGAAUAUUCGUAUACUCCUUGCUAGUCCUGUUUUUUAUAUUUACCCUUGAGUCUUCCUUAUGUUUAGUUGAGACAGUUCACAUUAUAACGUUGUUGACUUGUUCAAACUAUUGCUACUUGAUAACAUGUUGGUGCAGCUCCCGUCUUUAACAAAAAAGGGUUUUAUAGAUAUUUUUGCAUGGUCGUAUAUAAAACUGCUUUGCUUACGAGAAACCGUUCCUUUUACAUAUUACCACGAGAUUUAGUUUUAAUAUUUGCCUCAUGUUUUGUGCCGGGGUGCCAAACUAGUUUUUGUAAGUUAGGAGCCCAGUGUACUUAUUGCCAUGGAAGAGAAACAAUUUUUAUUACUCUUUCUAUCCUUUGAAGGGAAAAUGAAAACUAACUAAAUUUGAGAUCUCACUGGGCUAAAAGAGCACUAGCCUGUUGAAGAAUUCAAUGAUUGUUGGUAAUAAAAAUGACCACCCUAAGUAUCAGCUACAAGUAAUCGAUUAUCAUCUCAUUUACUCUCUUGCUACAACUUACUUACAUGUUAGAGAAUACCUAUCUUCUUUCUUUUCUAAGGUUUAAAACAUCAUGGUACUGAAUGUUGUUAGCUUCUUCAGCCCGGAUGGCUGCCUUGCUGAUUCAGUUGGACACUGUACCCUAGUUUUCAUCUGGCUUUCCUUUUGUCCUAGUCAACUUGCUGGCUGGAAAGUGCAACCUUGCCAUCAGUGGUCUUGGGGCUCGUAACUUCUUGUCAAAACCCCUCACACAAACAAAUCCUGCGAAAUACAGUUCUUUAUCAGAAAACAAAUAAAAGGUUUUGCAGUUAGGGAUAACACUUUUUUCCCCUAGCUACAUGAACGAUUACUACUUCCUUAUAAUUUUGUUUUUAUGAUUUGCUCCGAAGAGUAAGGCAAAAAGGAAACUCGCUGACAUGCUUGGUGCUUAUGCCGGCUUAAUUUGAGUCUUUUUAAAUUUGCAUAAUGAUGAUGUAGCAUGCAUGCUUUUCAUUGAUUUACUUAGUAGAAAUGGAUAAGAAGCUAAGACAAGCAUUUGGACCUCUGUGAACCUAAGGUUUUCGAUCUACAUACCUCUCCAAAAGCAAUGUUGGAUACUUUCUGUGGUUAGGCCUGAUUAACAGAGAACACACUUAAUGUUAUUUUACUCCCAAAUCUUUUUAAAAAAUAAAUAAGGUUUCAUCCUUUAGUUUGUUUACCUUUGAAUAUUGAUGGUAUAGAGGUUCCAAAGUAAACUGUCCGUCGUGGCAGAUCCCAUAGCCAAUUUCUUGGGACAUCAAUUGGCUUGAGGCUGGAUUCAUGGUCUGCAAACACCUGAGGAAUAGCAAAAAUGCUACUAUUAAAACCUUAUCAAAUGCAAAAAAUGCUUGCUUGAGUUAGAGGAAAAGUUGGUUGUAUUCACCUCGUUAACCUGGAAGUAUGUACCAUUGAGCGGAAAGCUACCUCUCAUAGCUGUUCUACAUGGUAUCUGUUAGAAAGUAUAUUCAGAGAUGAUCAGAAUUAUCAUAUCUUUUUUUUUUUUUUUUUUCAGAAUUAUCAUAUCACUUUCCCAUGACAUACACUAAAACAGUUUGUUCUCCUCUUACCAGAAUUGUCCCUCUCACAGUUUGAGCAUGUGCUUCA
rnacentral:lncRNA from 1 species